rnacentral:tRNA from 1 species
GACACAGUGCCAGAGUGGUUAAUGGGUUAGACUUGAAUUAUUCAUUCGCGUCAUCUAAUGGCUUCGGCCUCGCGCGUUCGAAUCGCGUCUGUGUCG